UACAGAGGGUCUCAAGUCGUUGAUUCGGAUUCAUUGGGCGUAAAGGGUGCGUAGGCGGCGCGGUAAGUCGGGUGUGAAAUCUCGGGCUUAACUCCGAAACUGCAUUCGAUACUGCCGUGCUUGAGGACUGGAGAGGAGACGUGGAAAUUUACGGUGUAGCGGUGAAAUGCGUAGAUAUCGUAAGGAAGACCAGUGGCGAAGGCGGGUCUC
rnacentral:rRNA from 1 species